rnacentral:rRNA from 1 species
GACGAACGCUGGCGGCGUGCUUAACACAUGCAAGUCGAACGGAAAGGCCCUGCUUUUGUGGGGUGCUCGAGUGGCGAACGGGUGAGUAACACGUGAGUAACCUGCCCUUGACUUUGGGAUAACUUCAGGAAACUGGGGCUAAUACCGGAUAGGAGCUCCUGCUGCAUGGUGGGGGUUGGAAAGUUUCGGCGGUUGGGGAUGGACUCGCGGCUUAUCAGCUUGUUGGUGGGGUAGUGGCUUACCAAGGCUUUGACGGGUAGCCGGCCUGAGAGGGUGACCGGCAACAUUGGGACUGAGAUACGGCCCAGACUCCUAAGGGAGGAAGCAGUGGGGAGUAUUGCAAAAUGGGCGGAAGCCUGAUGCAGCAACGACGCGUGCGGGAUGACAGCCUUCGGGUUGUAAACCGCUUUCGCCUGUGACGAAGCGUGAGUGACGGUAAUGGGUAAAGAAGCACCGGCUAACUACGUG